GAUGAACGCUGGCGGCGUGCUUAACACAUGCAAGUCGAACGGACGAUGAAAAGCUUGCUUUUCAAAGUUAGUGGCGGACGGGUGAGUAACGCGUGGGUAACCUGCCUCAUACAGGGGGAUAGCAGCUGGAAACGGCUGAUAAAACCGCAUAAGCGCACAGCAUCGCAUGAUGCAGUGUGAAAAACUCCGGUGGUAUGAGAUGGACCCGCGUCUGAUUAGCUGGUUGGUGAGGUAACGGCCCACCAAGGCGACGAUCAGUAGCCGGCCUGAGAGGGUGACCGGCCACAUUGGGACUGAGACACGGCCCAAACUCCUACGGGAGGCAGCAGUGGGGAAUAUUGCACAAUGGGGGAAACCCUGAUGCAGCGACGCCGCGUGAAGGAAGAAGUAUCUCGGUAUGUAAACUUCUAUCAGCAGGGAAGAUAAUGACGGU
rnacentral:rRNA from 1 species